UACGAAGGGGGCUAGCGUUGUUCGGAAUUACUGGGCGUAAAGCGCGCGCAGGCGGUCUUCCAAGUCAGUGGUGAAAGCCUGGAGCUCAACUCCAGAACUGCCAUUGAAACUGUUAGACUUGAGUACGAGAGAGGUGAGUGGAAUUCCCAGUGUAGAGGUGAAAUUCGUAGAUAUUGGGAAGAACACCAGUGGCGAAGGCGGCUCACUGGCCUGGUAUUGACGCUGAGGUGCGAAAGCGUGGGGAGCAAACAGG
rnacentral:rRNA from 1 species